GCGUCCGUAGUUUAGAUGGAUAGAGCGACGGAUUCCGGUUCCGUAGGUCGCAGGUUCGAGUCCUGCCGGGCGCGCCA
rnacentral:tRNA from 1 species